CCGAGUUAUCACAACUCCAAACCCAUGUGAAUCAUACCUUUUGUUGCCUCGGCGGUCGCUGAGGGAGUGCCUCCCGGGGCCUCUCCCCUCUUCGCCGCCGGUGGACACCUAAACUCUUUUGCAAUUUUUGUCAAUCUGAGUAGACUAUAUAAAUAAGUCA
rnacentral:misc_RNA from 1 species